GCGCGCCGGGCGCACGCCCGCCGGGCCUGGCAUGGCGCCAGGGGCCCGGACUCUGAGCGCAGCGGGAGCGGCUCAGUCCAGCCGCGCCGCUGAGCAGCGCCGGCCGCCGGCAAGAAGGCGCGCGGACCUGCUACCACUCCUGCACCGCCAGGCCAGGGGUCCGCGGGAUCCCAGGGGCUGCGGCCAGGGCACGAGGGAAGGGGCCACAUCUGGGAUUUAGGGGGCACUGGCGUCACCAGCUGGGUCCGGAAAGUCCACCUGCCGUCAAGGACACGCAGGAAGUGCGCCGUCUCAGAUCUGGGAACCUCGGAGGAUGUCCUGCCGCGUGGGGGAAGAUCCUGAACCCUCAGCGGCCAGCCUGCACCUCAGGACCCCCUAGGCCCUGCUCCCUUUCUCUCUCCACUCCUAUCUCAGCCUCUGCUCUGGUCUGUCCUGGAUGCAAAUUUAUGCUGCAAAAUCUGAGCGCUGAGGUCCUGAAACCUGACCCACCCGACGCAGGGAGGAGGUGGCAGGGACAGGGACAGGGACAGGCAGGAGCUGCUGGGGCCCACUUCGGGUGCCCCAUCCCACAUCUGGCCAGGGAUGCAUAUUCUAAAACCUGAUUUGAUGUUUUACUUUUAUUUUUUAUUUUUUUGCUGGCUUGAUUUUUCGAAGAACACUUCUCAGAUCUCUACUAACUACUUGCUUUCCUGGUCUCCUGGGUCCUGGCAUCAUGGGUCCAGACUCCCCGUACUCCUAUAAACCUUUUUUGGGCAUAGUAGGGUGGGAGAGUCCGCUUGGAAUUGCUAUGCUCCCUCCCAGAAAGCCCCAUAUGUGUUUGGAAGAAGGGUAGCACCUUCAGACCACACUUUCUAGACAACCUAAGCAGGUGUGGGGGUCUGAACUUCACCUCUGGAAAAAUGUCACGGUGCCUAUCUGUAUGCAGCCAGAGACCCGUUGUGUUCUUCCCCAUGGUUCCCAAGGUUUCAAGCUGCAACCAGCUGCUUCUAGAGUGUGUGAGCGCUGGACAGGGAGUCAGGAGGCCUGGGUUCUAGAUCCUGGGCUGCACUAAGUCCCAGUGUGACCUUGGGUUGUGACCUUCUCUGGGCUUCUGUCUCUCUCUGAUGUGUUGAUGACGUCAGUGGUCCCAUGUAGUGGGACCUGGGGACUGCAACUUAAGGUAUGGGCAGGUAGGCAGGGCCUUGGGCUGUGGUGGCCCUGGGUGGUGGGGACCAGGGAGAGCAGCUGUCCAGCUGCCCAGUAACUCAAGUUCCCUGACAUCGCUGUCAACACUGUCUCCUGCAGCUCAGCCCUGGAUGGCUGCCCUUCCUGGAAACCUUAGGAUACCGCUGCUGGCUCCAGCUGCCCCCUCCCUGUGAGUCAGCUCCUUCAAGCCACAGCCCGCCAGCUGGCUUCCAAGGCACCAAGGAUGCAGCUCCUGACCUGAUGCCUCUCAGCUCCAGGAUUUCCCAGGACCCCUCAGCUGCCCUGGACCCUGCUGCUACUGCCGUCACCUCUGCACCUUGUCCCCAGCUGGGCUGCUGACUCAGAUAUGCCAGGCUCCUAUGCUAUCAUUUCAACUCCCAGGCUCAGCUCACUCCAGGGGCCUAGUUGGAGAAUGGAUUUCCCCAGCUGAAGGACCCUUCAGCUAUACCAGUGGAGAAACGGAGGCGCAGAGAGUCCCACGCAAAAUUGAGGCCCAGGCAGGGCUCGCCUCUUCUGUGAAGCCUUCCGUGACCACUGUAGAUGGCAGCGAUGCUUCCUUCCUCCAUAUCCUGCCAGGAAAGGAAGAGAAACAGCAAGGAAAAGAAUGAAACAAGAACUGUCCUCUGUGCAUGGGGCUGAGCCCCAUUCCUAUGCUGAUAUGAUCUCUCACUACAGCCUUGCCAGGUAGACAUGGCUGCUCUCGCACAGAUGAGGAAACAGCAUAAAGACGUUAGAUGUUAAGUGACCUGCUGCUCAAAGCCACGGGCCUGGGGUUGGGAGCGGACUCGGCACUUUUGUGCGAGGAUCUAGUGCCUGGUAGAAGGAGAUGUUCCGCAUAUUCUCAGACAAGUCCCUUCCUCUCUCUUUCUCAGUCUUUCCACCUGUAACAUGAGCCCAAUCAGAGGUAAACUGUGCUCUAUAGAUGGGCUAGGGUGAGGGGAAGAUGGACCCCCUGAAAUUGUAUGCGUGUGACAUUGAGGCACAAAGGCCCAAGCCCUUCAUGAUUUGCAAAGAGAUCUCUGACAUUGUCUGUUUUGGAUUGGAGAUGACCAUCUGAGGGAUGUGUUUUGAGAAGCAUGAAUGACCAAAUGAAUUCAAUAAAUACGUAGUGAAUAUCUAAUCUGAC